GAAAAUGGGAUUUGGGUUGCUGGGACUGGGAUUUGGCCACUGGGAAUGGGAAAUGAAGUCCUCAAAAAUGGGAAUGGGAUUGAGGUAAUGUGAGUCGAUUCCCAAUUUUUCUGCGUUUUGAGUAUUUUAAAAUACAAUUUUGAUCCGUUUUUGGUGUCUUUGGUCACGAUUUUUGUUGUUAACUAUAUUAUUCACAGCACUAUACCUGUGAACAGGCAUACUCUGGCGCCCGGAAUUCUGGGUUUUAUGAUUAUGUGUGUCUCAGAAUGCUGCAAAUGCCAUUUCCGGGAUUCAAAUCUAAAAAUUUUCCGUGCCUUUGGCACGAGCCCCCCCGGAUAUUUCAUAAAGUGUCCGCCACUUGCUUAAAAGGUCUUAAAACUGUUUAUUCUACCGAUAAAUGAAGGGGUUUUUAUUGACUGGGAUUUCAAUAACUGGGACUGGGAUUUGUAAUAAAAAUCCAACUGGGACUGGGAUUUUGCCAAAAUUUCGGGUGGGAAAUGGGAUUGGGACCCCCCCUUCAGGACCCUCCAUCAUGGGUUCUUGUACAGAUGACCUGUUUCAACACGCGCUUGUAAAGUCACUUCAAAGACUAGACAAAGCCGGACUGGAAAUUAAAGAGAAAUAAUUCGAAGCUUUAUCGUCCAUCGACGUAUGUUGUAUAUUAAAAGGAACAAGAACAUGUGACAUGUUUAAACGGCGGUGUGUGUCUGUUUACUGGGUUACAACAACGGCAAUAACAAUGAAUCACCUAACAUUUCAAGAAAAUAUAAAUUAUAGAUAGAUGUCAUGUAUGACGCCAUGAGUUUUGGAUUUGAAUUGCUAGAUUUAAAUCUAUAUUUAUAUGUAUACAAAAUCAUGCGUGCGUAAAUUUGAGCAAAAAAGCACAAGGUGUUUGUUUGGCCAUAUGCCCAUCAUGUAGCCCAGUAUGAAUAUUGAAUACCGUUUUACUGUAUAUAGCACGUUUAAAACGUUAUUUCCAUGCGGGAUAAUCCUGAAUCCUUCACCGAUUACAUGCCGUGGC